UACUAGAGUAGCACUCGCAUAUCAAUAAGCGGAGGAAAAGAAACUAACAAGGAUUCCCCUAGUAACGGCGAGUGAAGCGGGAAGAGCUCAAAUUUGAAAUCUUAAAGGGUUUCCCUUUACGAAUUGUAGUUUAAAGAAGUGUUUUCUGUUGAGGUUUUGGUAAAAGUUCUUUGGAAUAGGACAUCAUAGAGGGUGAGAAUCCCGUAUUUGACCUUUACUUUCAACUUUGUGAUACACUUUCAAAGAGUCGGAUUGUUUGGGAAUGCCGUCCAAAAUGGGUGGUAAAUUUCAUCUAAAGCUAAAUAUUGGCGAGAGACCGAUAGCGAACAAGUACCGUGAGGGAAAGAUGAAAAGAACUUUGAAAAGAGAGUUAAACAGUACGUGAAAUUGUCAAAAGGGAAGCGUUUGACACCAGUGUUGUUUUUCUGAAAAUCAAUUAAAGAACUGUUUAUGCUAAGUUGUUUAGACUUUAUCAGCUAACUGUUUAGUUUUGAGCUUUUCUUUAAUGCACUUUUCAGUUAACAAGUCAACAUCAAUUUCUUUUGCUGUAAAAAAGCUUGAGGAAGGUGGCUUGAGAUUCGUCUUAAGUGUUUAUAGCCUCUUGCCUAUGCAGUCGGAGAGAUUGAGGUCUGCAGCGUAGAUCCUUCGGGGCUAAAUGCAUUUGUGCUAAGUUAUAGCAUUUUAUAGACAACUUGUUGACUAUGAUUUGUCUUGUAGCUUACUCGCUUAUGUUAUUUUACCUACGCUUAGGAUGUUGAACUACUGAGACAUAGA
rnacentral:rRNA from 1 species